rnacentral:rRNA from 1 species
UCGCCUGUUUAUCAAAAACAUAGUUUAGUGAAAAUUAUACUAAAUGAAUUCUGCCCAGUGUUUUAAUAAAUGGCCGCAGUACCUUGACUGUGCUAAGGUAGCAUAAUCAAUUGGCUUUUAAUUGAAGUCUGGAAUGAAUGAAAUAAUGGAGGAAUGCUGUCUUAAAAGUAUUAAUUUAAAUUUAUUUAAAAGGUGAAAAUACCUUUUUUAAAAAAAAAGACGAGAAGACCCUAAGAAUUUUUAGAUUAAGAUUUUGAAUUUAAUCUUUUUGUUGGGGCGACAGAUUAGAAAACUAAACCUAAUUUUUUAAAUUGGCGAAUUUUUUAAGUAAUAAAAAAUUACCUUAGGGAUAACAGCAUAAUAUAAAAUUUUUUAUGUUUGUGACCUCGAUGUUGGACUAGGAACUUUAUGGCUAGCAGUCAGAAAAGAUUUAUUCUGUUCGAAUAAUUUAAUCCU